UACGGAGGGAGCUAGCGUUGUUCGGAAUUACUGGGCGUAAAGCGCACGUAGGCGGCUUUGUAAGUUAGAGGUGAAAGCCCGGGGCUCAACUCCGGAAUUGCCUUUAAGACUGCAUCGCUUGAAUUCCGGGAGAGGUGAGUGGAAUUCCGAGUGUAGAGGUGAAAUUCGUAAGAUAUUCGGAAGAACACCAGUGGCGAAGGCGGCUCACUGGACCGGUAUUGACGCUGAGGUGACGAAGCGUGGGGAGCAAACAGG
rnacentral:rRNA from 1 species